rnacentral:rRNA from 1 species
GAUGAACGCUAGCGGCGGGCUUAAUACAUGCAAGUCGAACGGUAAGGUCUCUUCGGAGAUACACGAGUGGCGCACGGGUGCGUAACGCGUACACAAUCUACCUUUAAGAGGGGGAUAGCCUUUAGAAAUGAAGAUUAAUACCCCAUAGUAUUGUUUGAAGGCAUCUUUAGACAAUUAAAAGAUUUAUCGCUUAAAGAUGAGUGUGCGUUCCAUUAGGUAGUUGGUAAGGUAACGGCUUACCAAGCCUACGAUGGGUAGCUGUUCUGAGAGGAAGAUCAGCCACACGGGCACUGAGACACGGGCCCGACUCCUACGGGAGGCAGCAGUAAGGAAUAUUGGUCAAUGGGGGCAACCCUGAACCAGCCACGCCGCGUGAGGGAUGACUGCCCUCUGGGUUGUAAACCUCUUUUAUCAAGGAAGAAUUUAGUUCAUUUAUGAAUUAAUUGACGGUACUUGAUGAAUAAGCACCGGCUAACUCCG